ensembl:snoRNA small nucleolar RNA SNORA2/SNORA34 family
GUGGCCAAUGAAUCAAGGUCAACAGUUUGUUGUAGCUGCUGAUUUCAAACAGGAGCCUAAAGAGAAGUCUUUCUAGGGUCUGUUGGCUGUGUCAGAACUUUGUUAAUGUCAAUUCAUUAGAAAUAGCAUGG